rnacentral:tRNA from 2 species
GGAGACGGAUGCGUCACUGGUGGGCGCCCCGGACUUCAAACCCGCGUGUAUGGCUCUAAAACAGUCAUUGGUAGGUUCGAUUCCUACUCGUCUCCGCCA